rnacentral:lncRNA from 1 species
UGCUACUUUUGAUUUUACAGAUAAUAAUAAUGUUUCUUGUGGUGAACUCCGGGAUUAAAAAAAGGAGUAAGAAACCUAAUUGAGAGAAGUGAAGAAUCAGAAACAGACUAUGUAGUAAAAGAUAUUCUACGAAAAGAGGCCUGGCCUAUCCCCAUAAAAAAAUCCAUUAAUAAAAAAAAAUAAAAAAAUAAAAAAAAAAAACACACAUACUUAAUCCACCUCAUUUUUAAUGCCAUUGAACACAAUAUUUUUAUAAAAUUUCAUUAAUUACCAACAAUGAAAUGAAUAGUUCAUUAGCCUAAAUAUGAUCCUUCAGAAAUGAUAGAAAAAUAUAAAAUCUGUAUAUUAUAUGCUAACACCAGCUCCAUUGUCCAGUGCUUCGAACGACACCAGGG